AUGGACGCAAGUCUGAUGGAGCAACGCCGCGUGAGUGAAGAAUGCUUUCGGGUCGUAAAACUCUGUUGUUGGAGAAGAAUGGUCGGCAGAGUAACUGUUGUCGGCGUGACGGUAUCCAACCAGAAAGCCACGGCUAACUACGUGCCAGCAGCCGCGGUAAUACGUAGGUGGCAAGCGUUAUCCGGAUUUAUUGGGCGUAAAGCGAGCGCAGGCGGUUUUUUAAGUCUGAUGUGAAAGCCCUCGGCUUAACCGAGGAAGCGCAUCGGAAACUGGGAAACUUGAGUGCAGAAGAGGACAGUGGAACUCCAUGUGUAGCGGUGAAAUGCGUAGAUAUAUGGAAGAACACCAGUGGCGAAGGCGGCUGUCUGGUCUGUAACUGACGCUGAGGCUCGAAAGCAUGGGUAGCGAACAGGAUUAGAUACCCUGGUAGUCCAUGCCGUAAACGAUGAAUGCUAGGUGUUGGAGGGUUUCCGCCCUUCAGUGCCGCAGCUAACGCAUUAAGCAUUCCGCCUGGGGAGUACGACCGCAAGGUUGAAACUCAAAGGAAUUGACGGGGGCCCGCACAAGCGGUGGAGCAUGUGGUUUAAUUCGAAGCAACGCGAAGAACCUUACCAAG
rnacentral:rRNA from 2 species